CAACCCUCAAGCUCAGCUUGGUAUUGGGUGUCACUUAGCAAUAGGUGCAUCUUAAAAUCAGUGGUGGUGCCAUCUGGCUUCAAGUGUAGUAAUUCUCUCACUUUGGAGGUUUGGAUGUGUGCUUGCCAUCAACCCUCUAAUUUAUCAAU
rnacentral:misc_RNA from 1 species